AGGACGAACGCUGGCGGCGUGCUUAAAACAUGCAAGUCGAACGAGGUCCAUGGGUUCGCAAGAACCCGGAAGACCUAGUGGCGAACGGGUGCGUAACACGUGAGGAACCUGCCCCAGAGACCGGGAUAACCCUCCGAAAGGAGAGCUAAUACCGGAUGUGCUCAUCGGAUCACCUGGUCUGAUGAGGAAAUGGAUUCCGCUCUGGGAUGGCCUCGCGGCCUAUCAGCUUGUUGGUGGGGUAACGGCUACCAAGGCGACGACGGGUAGCUGGUCUGAGAGGACGAUCAGCCACACUGGGACUGAGACACGGCCCAGACU
rnacentral:rRNA from 1 species